rnacentral:rRNA from 1 species
GAACGCUAGCUACAGGCUUAACACAUGCAAGUCGAGGGGCAGCAUGGUCUUAGCUUGCUAAGGCCGAUGGCGACCGGCGCACGGGUGAGUAACACGUAUCCAACCUGCCGUCUACUCUUGGACAGCCUUCUGAAAGGAAGAUUAAUACAAGAUGGCAUCAUGAGUCCGCAUGUUCACAUGAUUAAAGGUAUUCCGGUAGACGAUGGGGAUGCGUUCCAUUAGAUAGUAGGCGGGGUAACGGCCCACCUAGUCUUCGAUGGAUAGGGGUUCUGAGAGGAAGGUCCCCCACAUUGGAACUGAGACACGGUCCAAACUCCUACGGGAGGCAGCAGUGAGGAAUAUUGGUCAAUGGGCGAGAGCCUGAACCAGCCAAGUAGCGUGAAGGAUGACUGCCCUAUGGGUUGUAAACUUCUUUUAUAAAGGAAUAAAGUCGGGUAUGGAUACCCGUUUGCAUGUACUUUAUGAAUAAGGAUCGGCUAACUCCGUGCCAGCAGCCGCGGUAAUACGGAGGAUCCGAGCGUUAUCCGGAUUUAUUGGGUUUAAAGGGAGCGUAGAUGGAUGUUUAAGUCAGUUGUGAAAGUUUGCGGCUCAACCGUAAAAUUGCAGUUGAUACUGGAUAUCUUGAGUGCAGUUGAGGCAGGCGGAAUUCGUGGUGUAGCGGUGAAAUGCUUAGAUAUCACGAAGAACUCCGAUUGCGAAGGCAGCCUGCUAAGCUGCAACUGACAUUGAGGCUCGAAAGUGUGGGUAUCAAACAGGAUUAGAUACCCUGGUAGUCCACACGGUAAACGAUGAAUACUCGCUGUUUGCGAUAUACUGCAAGCGGCCAAGCGAAAGCGUUAAGUAUUCCACCUGGGGAGUACGCCGGCAACGGUGAAACUCAAAGGAAUUGACGGGGGCCCGCACAAGCGGAGGAACAUGUGGUUUAAUUCGAUGAUACGCGAGGAACCUUACCCGGGCUUAAAUUGCAGAUGAAUUACGGUGAAAGCCGUAAGCCGCAAGGCAUCUGUGAAGGUGCUGCAUGGUUGUCGUCAGCUCGUGCCGUGAGGUGUCGGCUUAAGUGCCAUAACGAGCGCAACCCUUGUUGUCAGUUACUAACAGGUUCCGCUGAGGACUCUGACAAGACUGCCAUCGUAAGAUGUGAGGAAGGUGGGGAUGACGUCAAAUCAGCACGGCCCUUACGUCCGGGGCUACACACGUGUUACAAUGGGGGGUUCAGAGGGCCGCUACCACGCGAGUGGAUGCCAAUCCCCAAAACCUCUCUCAGUUCGGACUGGAGUCUGCAACCCGACUCCACGAAGCUGGAUUCGCUAGUAAUCGCGCAUCAGCCACGGCGCGGUGAAUACGUUCCCGGGCCUUGUACGCACCGCCCGUCAAGCCAUGGGAGCCGGGGGUACCUGAAGUGCGUAACCGCGAGGAGCGCCCUAGGGUAAAACUGGUGACUGGGGCUAA